rfam:Atta cephalotes unplaced genomic scaffold scaffold00010, whole genome shotgun sequence.
GCCUCAGUAGUCUAAAGGCUAGGACGCUCGCAUGCAAUGCAAGAGAUCCGAGUUCGACUCCCGACCGAGGUA